rnacentral:rRNA from 1 species
CAUGAAGCCGGAAUUGCUAGUAAUGGCAGGUCAGCAUACUGCCGUGAAUACGUUCCCGGGCCUUGUACACACCGCCCGUCACACCAUGAGAGUUGGGAAUACCCGAAGCCUGUGAGCUAACGUUAAGAGGCAGCAGUCGAAGGUAGAAUCAAUGAUUGGGGUGAAGUCGUAACAAGGUAUC